GCCGCAAUAGCUCAGAUGGUAGAGCAAUUGAUUUGUAAUCAAUAGGUCCCGAGUUCGAUCCUUGGUUGCGGCACCA
rnacentral:tRNA from 2 species